rnacentral:rRNA from 1 species
AUACGGAGGGUGCAAGCGUUACUCGGAAUCACUGGGCGUAAAGCGCGCGCAGGCGGCUAUUUAAGUUGGAUGUGAAAGCCUACGGCUCAACCGUAGAACUGCAUCCAAAACUAUUUAGCUAGAGUGUUGGAGAGGAAGAUGGAAUUAGUUGUGUAGUGGUAAAAUCCGUAGAGAUAACUAGGAAUACCAAAAGCGAAGGCAAUCUUCUGGAACACUACUGACGCUGAGGCGCGAAAGCGUGGGGAGCAAACAGGAUUAGAAACCCUUGUAGUCC